rnacentral:lncRNA from 1 species
AAUAGGACAGAAGACAGCUCCCAAGAUUUUCCCCUACGAGGGGGUUCAUUCAUCAGCUCCUGGGCCUGGUAACCGGGGAGGAAGAGCGUUUAAGCUAUUAUUACUAAUGGGGGAGGGGCAGAGGCCCGCUUAGAACAAUUAGGCAGGUGACAAUAUUCCACUAUAAUGCGUCGUCCUCGAAACUGGACCGGGUUUAGAAGACUAUCAGGGCUGUCUCUUGCUUCCGCGGGCCUCGGCGCCGGGGCCUCCGCCUGGGUCUGGCUCCGGGUUAAUGGUGGCGCCGCCGGGAGGCUGGGAAGGGAGAGGGGAGGGCACUCUGGCUGCCCUGCCCAGGAACAGGGAGGCUUUCAGUGGCCGCUCGGACUCCUCGUUAGGGCGUUUGAAAGCCCCAAAUGGCCGGUGGCGGGGGCCAUUGCGUCGAUCAGUUUUUCCUUCCUGCGCCCCAUCAGGCGCGCCCGGUUCCCCAACUACCCGCUCCUCCACCCUGCGAACGCCUUUCCGCAACCUACUGGCUCCGUAGAUACAGCCAUUCAGCCGGUUACAAAAAAGGAACAAUGCCAACAUUGAAGUCCUCGGUUGGAGUCUGCACAGUUGGAGAUCUUUGGUGCCAUUUUAGACAUCUUUGGAUUUCAUCAAUCAAACUGACUGCAAUUUUCCAUAAAAACCCUGAAUUUGGGUCAGAAAGUGGGCAAAGUAGAUAAAGAUCAUUCGAGCUGUCUUAUAAGAUGAUAAAUAGAUAUCCUUUCAGGCCAACAAUGCCAAAGUGCAGUUUUGUGAUUCCCUUCCAUGGGUUCUGAAUGCAGUGAGUCGAAACGAUUUCUACAUGUUUUCCCAUGGUUUAGGAGGUGUCUUUACAUACUUGUCAAUAGUAGCCUGACCUUUUUCCCCAUGGAGUUGCUAAGUGUGU